rnacentral:rRNA from 1 species
AGUUUGAUCAUGGCUCAGAUUGAACGCUGGCGGCAGGCCUAACACAUGCAAGUCGAACGGUAGCACAGAGAGCUUGCUCUUGGGUGACGAGUGGCGGACGGGUGAGUAAUGUCUGGGAAACUGCCCGAUGGAGGGGGAUAACUACUGGAAACGGUAGCUAAUACCGCAUAACGUCGCAAGACCAAAGAGGGGGACCUUCGGGCCUCUUGCCAUCGGAUGUGCCCAGAUGGGAUUAGCUAGUAGGUGGGGUAACGGCUCACCUAGGCGACGAUCCCUAGCUGGUCUGAGAGGAUGACCAGCCACACUGGAACUGAGACACGGUCCAGACUCCUACGGGAGGCAGCAGUGGGGAAUAUUGCACAAUGGGCGCAAGCCUGAUGCAGCCAUGCCGCGUGUAUGAAGAAGGCCUUCGGGUUGUAAAG